GCCUUCGUGGUGUAAUGGUCAGCACACUGAGCCGGUAUUUCAGAGGUCCGUGGUUCGAUCCCCAGCGAAGGCA
rfam:Stegodyphus mimosarum contig112385, whole genome shotgun sequence.